UGCGGUGCGGUCCUACACAUGCAGUCGAGCGGGCCUUCGGGUCAGCGGCAGACGGGUGAGUAACGCGUGGGAACGUACCAUUUGCUACGGAAUAACUCAGGGAAACUUGUGCUAAUACCGUAUGAGCCCGAAAGGGGAAAGAUUUAUCGGCAAAUGAUCGGCCCGCGUUGGAUUAGCUAGUUGGUGGGGAUGAUAAGGCCUACCAGGGCGACCAUCCAUAGCUGGUCUGAGAGGAUCCUCACCCACACUGGGACUGACACACAUUAAAAAAUCUAGACGGGAGGCAGCAGUGUCGAAAUAUUGGACAAUGGUGCGCAAGCCUGAUCCAGCCAUGCCGCGUGAGUGUAUGAAGGCCCUAGGAUUGUUAAGCUCUUUCACCGGUGAAGAUAAUGACAGUAACCGAAGAAGAAGCCCCGUCUAACUUCGUGCCAGCAGCCGCGAAAAUACGAAGAGGGGCUAGCGUUGUUCGGAUUUACUGGCCGUAAAGCGCACGUAGGCGAACUAAUAAGUCAGGGGUGAGAUCCCGGCCCUCAACCCCGGAACUGCCUUUGAUACUGUUAGUCUUGAGUAUGGGAGAGGUGAGUCCAAUUCCGAGUGUAGAGGUGAAAUUCGUAGAUAUUCGGAGGAACACCAGUGGCGAAGGCGGCUCACUGGACCAUUACUGACGCUGAAGUGCGAAAGCGUGAGGAGCAAACAGAACUAGAUACCCUGCCAGUCCACGCCGUAAACGAUGAAUGGUAGCCGUUGGGGAGUUUACUCUUCGGUGGCGCAGCUUAACGCAUUAAACAGUCCGGCCUGGCGGAGUACGGUAGCAAGAUUAAAACUCAAAGGAAUCGACCGCGCAGCCCGGCACAAGCGGUGGUAGCAUGUGGUUUUAAUUUCGAAGCAACGCGUCAGAACCCUUACCAGCCCUUUGACAUCCCUGAUCGGCGGAUAAGUGCAGACACUAUCCUUCAGUUCAGACUGGAAUCCGAGACAGGUGCUGCAUGGCCUGUCCGUCAGCUAGUGUCGUUGAAAUGCUCGCAUAAGUCCCCCAACGAGCCCAACCCUCUGACCUUAGUUGCCGAGCAUUCAAGUUGGGCACUCUAAGGGAACUCGCCAGGGGAUAAGCCGAGAGGAAGGUGCCGAUGACGCUCAAGUCCUCAUGGUCCUUACGGGCUCUGGCUACACACGCUGCUACAGAUUGGGGGUGACAGUGUGUGCAGCGAGCACGCUGAGUGUGAGCUAAUCUCCAAAAGCCAUCUCAGUUCGGAUUGCACUCUGCAACUCGAGUGCAUGAAGUUGGAAUCGCUAGUAAUCGCGGAUCAGCAUGCCGCGGUGAAUACGUUCCCGGGCCUUGUACACACCGCCCGUCACACCAUGGGAGUUGGUUUUACCCGAAGGCGCUGUGCUAACCGCAAGGAGGCAUGCGAACACGUUGUCUGUUUUA
rnacentral:rRNA from 1 species